CGGAUUUUCAUUCACUGCCAUCUUACGCGAAAACCUCUACCGGUGAGCGUUUGGAGUUUUCUACGUAGACAUCUCUUUUUAAAGCGAUCUGAUGUCCCUUGUGCCGUGGUCUUCAGGUCAAGCAAGUUGAUCUGUUCUCAACACCAGAAGAUGUGGAUGAAGAGAAAGCUUCAGGAUCCGGCGCUGUGGCUGAGUUGUCAGCCUGGUGCUCACGCUCAGAGUGGGCAACGUCAUCUUUUGGUGAAGUCUUCCCUGCAUCCGACCUUGUGACAGUGCUGCUGUCCCGAAACUUUAACUCCAUCCCUUC